AGUGAACGCUGGCGGUAGGCCUAACACAUGCAAGUCGAACGGCAGCACAGUAAGAGCUUGCUCUUACGGGUGGCGAGUGGCGGACUGGUGAGGAAUACAUCGGAUUCUACUUUUUCGUUGGUGAUAACGUAGGGAAACUUACGCUACUACCUCAUACGACCUACGGGUGAAAGCAGGGGAUCUUCGGACCUUGCCCGAUUGUAUGAGCCGAUGUCGGAUUAGCUAGUUGGCGGGGUAAAGGCCCACCAAGGCGACGAUCCGUAGCUGGUCUGAGAGGAUGAUCAGCCACACUGGAACUGAGACACGGUCCAGACUCCUACGGGAGGCAGCAGUGGGGAAUAUUGGACAAUGGGCGCAAGCCUGAUCCAGCCAUACCGCGUGGGUGAAGAAGGCCUUCGGGUUGUAAAGCCCUUUUGUUGGGAAAGAAAAGCAGCAGGUUAAUACCCCGCUGUUCUGACGGUACCCAAAGAAUAAGCACCGGCUAACUUCGUG
rnacentral:rRNA from 1 species